AUUGAACGCUGGCGGCAGGCCUAACACAUGCAAGUCGAACGGUAACAGGAAGCAGCUUGCUGCUUCGCUGACGAGUGGCGGACGGGUGAGUAAUGUCUGGGAAACUUCCUGAUGGAGGGGGAUAACUACUGGAAACGGUAGCUAAUACCGCAUAACGUCGCAAGACCAAAGAGGGGGACCUUAGGGCCUCUUGCCAUCGGAUGUGCCCAGAUGGGAUUAGCUAGUAGGUGGGGUAACGGCUCACCUAGGCGACGAUCCCUAGCUGGUCUGAGAGGAUGACAGCCACACUGGAACUGAGACACGGUCCAGACUCCUACGGGAGGCAGCAGGGGGGAAUAUUGCACAAUGGGCGCAAGCCUGAUGCAGCCAUGCCGGGUGUAUGAGAAGGCCUUCGGGUUGUAAAGUACUUUCAGCGGGGAGGAAGGGAGUAAAGUUAAUACCUUUGCUCAUUGACGUUACCCGCAGAAGAAGCACCGGCUAACUCCGUG
rnacentral:rRNA from 1 species